UCCUGAAGACCUUGAUUAGUUGGUUAAGGUGUGUUUGAUUAGGGUUGGAGCUAAGCUCUGUAGGACAGUGCCCCUCCAGGACCGAGUUUCCCCAUCCCUGCUCCAAGACCUGAAAUGUCAGACAAAGCUCAAACUCAAUUCCUGAAGGGCCAAAGCUCUGCACAGUUUAUCUCCAGCCAACUCCAACUCACACCUGCUUGGACGUUUCUAGUAAUCUUGAAGACCUUGAUUAGCUGGAGCAGGUGUGUUUGAUUAGGGUUGGAGAAAACUGUUCAGAGCUGUGGCCCUCCAGGAAUUGAGUUUGAGACCAAAGGAGACAUCCAAAAUGUGUAGUGUCAGGGGGGCUACAGGAAUGUGAUUUUGCAGAAGUCAAUGAGAGUGACAGUGAAGAUUCAUGUGAAGAUGAGCUACAACUGGAUGACACUUCUGGUGAAUCUAUGGAAACAAAUGAUGCAGUUAACCAUACUGUGAUCAUUGCAAACAAAG